CCUACGGGUGGCAGCAGUGAGGAAUAUUGGUCAAUGGGCGCGAGCCUGAACCAGCCAAGUAGCGUGAAGGAAGACGGCCCUACGGGUUGUAAACCUCUUUUAUCAAGGAAUAAAGUGAGUCACGUGUGACUCUUUGUAUGUACUCUAUGAAUAAGGAUCGGCUAACUCCGUUCCAGCAGCCGCGGUAAUACGGAGGAUACGAGCGUUAUCCGGAUUUAUUGGGUUUAAAGGGUGCGCAGGAGGUUGUGCAAGUCAGUGUUAAAAUUUGCGGGCUCAACCUAAAACUGCCAUUGAAACUGGAAGUCUUGAGUGCAGGUGAGGUAGGCGGAAUGCGUGGUGUAGCGGUGAAAUGCAUAGAUAUCACGAAGAACUCCGAUUGCGAAGGCAGCUUAC
rnacentral:rRNA from 1 species